UUGAACGCUGGCGGCAUGCCUUACACAUGCAAGUCGAACGGUAACAGGUCUUCGGAUGCUGACGAGUGGCGAACGGGUGAGUAAUACAUCGGAACGUGCCCGAUCGUGGGGGAUAACGCAGCGAAAGCUGUGCUAAUACCGCAUACGAUCUACGGAUGAAAGCAGGGGACGGCAAGGCCUUGCGCGGACGGAGCGGCCGAUGGCAGAUUAGGUAGUUGGUGGGAUAAAAGCUUACCAAGCCGACGAUCUGUAGCUGGUCUGAGAGGACGACCAGCCACACUGGGACUGAGACACGGCCCAGACUCCUACGGGAGGCAGCAGUGGGGAAUUUUGGACAAUGGGGGAAACCCUGAUCCAGCCAUGCCGCGUGAAGGAUGAAGGCCUUCGGGUUGUAAACUGCUUUUGUACGGAAAGAAAUCGGGUGCGUGAAUAGCGCGCCUGGAUGACGGUACUGUCAGAAGAAGCACCGGCUAACUACGU
rnacentral:rRNA from 1 species